UACGUAGGGGCAAGCGUUGUCCGGAAUCAUUGGGCGUAAAGCGCGUGUAGGCGGCUCGGUAAGUCUGCUGUUAAAGUCCAGGGCUCAACCCUGGGAUGCCGGUGGAUACUGUCGAGCUCGAGUCCGGAAGAGGAGUGUGGAAUUCCUGGUGUAGCGGUGAAAUGCGCAGGAUAUCAGGAGGAACACCAAUGGCGAAGGCAGCACUCUGGGACGUGACUGACGCUGAGACGCGAAAGCGUGGGGAGCAAACAGG
rnacentral:rRNA from 1 species